AGUGCUGGGGUUACAGGGGAGAGCCACCGCGCCUGGCCGAGUCUUAAAGGUCCUUAAGGCUCCCUGAUGUAGAAGCUAAAUUAGAGACAUUGUGUUUGGGGGCAAGUAAACUACUUCCACACCUUCUGUGCUGAACCCCUGGGGUUCUGGAUGGUCAGGGGCAUUGUCCAAAAUCAAAAGAACUUUAAAAGGCAAUCUCUCACUGGCUAGGUAUUUCCUGACUCCAGGGACAAAGCAUCAAUGGAAUCAAUCCAAAAAAGGGUUCUCAUUGUCCAGGACUUCUUGUACAACCAAAGGACUGGCAGCCAGUAUUUCUCUUAUCCCUUCAAGGUUCAAGGUUAGCAGCUUUACAGACAAGGGCAGUCCUGAUCAUAAACCUGACUACAUUUGCACAAAAGAGUAGAGUUAGCCCAUCCCUUCCUGCCUUAAAUCCUGGUGCUUACUUCUUUUCCUUACAAAUUGGAUUAAUGUCCUCUAUGGCAAUUUUUUUCCAGAAUGGGGCACUUCCAUCUAAUGGGGCACUUCCAUCUGGCAUUUAGGGCCAGGCACAGUGGCCCAGCCAGGUAUGCCUUUCUUAUUGCAAUCCUGCACCCACAUAAAAGCUGCAUUUUCAAUACAAGAUAAAAGAAUAUUUCACAAGAAGUGUGAGAUUUUCAUGCAUGCUGGUAUAGCUGCAACAAUGGCUUCAUGAAUUUCCUUUCCUUUUUUUCACUAUAGUCAUGUAUGCUGAAUUCAUUUAUCUUUAAAUGGCAGGCAAACAUAGAAUGCACUCAUUCUAAGAUGCAUAUCAAGCAAUUUGACUUUUUCUUGUAACAUCAUGACAUUUCUCUCCUUCCUGGGAGCACUUCCAGUAUCACUAGUGUCACUCCGUGAGUCCCAUGGUGUUAUUCAAAGUUUACAGACUUGCACUAAACAUAGUGAAAUAUAUGUAAGAAAAAUAUGAGAUCACCUUUUUUUUUGUUUUUUUUUUUGUUUGUUUGUUUGUUUUAGGAUAGUCUCGAACUCCUGAGCUCAAAUGCUCCUCCCACCUGGGUGUCCCAAAGUGCUGGUAUUACAGGUAUGAGCCACCACACCUGGCAGAGAUCACUUUUUACCAAGAUACGCAAUUUACUGGAGACAAGCUACCCACAUGGAGAUAACUGGCAUCACAGGGCUUUGUUUUGUUUUGUUUUUGAGACAGGUUCCGGCUCUGUCACCCAGGCUGGAGUGCACUGGCAUGAUAUUGGCUCACCGCAACCUCGGCCUCCUGGGGUCAAGCAAUCCUCCCGCCUCAGCCUCCUGAGUAGCUGGGACUAUAGGCACGCACCACUACACCCAGUUAAUUUUUGUAUUUUUUAUAGAGACGGGGUCUCACCGUGUUGCCCAGGCUGGUCUCCAACUCCUUGGCUCAAGCAAUCCACCCACCUCAGCCUCCCAAAGAGCUGGGAUUACUGGCAUGAGUGACCACACCUGGCCAGUUACAGGGCAUCACAGGGAUACUUCCAACACUUGAGCUCACUGCAAAAGCAACAGGAGGUAGCUACAAAGUUAUUACAGCAGUAUGGCAUAUACUACAGUUAAUUCCAUGCAGUUAUGAUUUAACACUGCACCUUUAUGUUUGCACUUCUCUUGACUGCAAAUAGUGCCGUGUACAGUCUGUACACACACAUUUUGUGUACAUUUCAUGUUGGUAAAUGAUAAAACAGGCUAGCAUCUACAAAUAUUUUAAGCAUUCAUGACAUACCUUUUUAAUGUUUUUAAAUAUUUCUAGGGUACAUAGUUCAAGUUUUUUCAAACUGCAGAAAAUCUCCAAAAAAUUUACCAAUAUAUUUAUUGAAAAAAAUUUCCACAGGACAAACACAUGUUGUUGAUAGCCAAACUGUAUACGCUUUUCAGUAAUGGGAUUUAAAACUUAAGGAGAGUACAGUUACAAAGCUUAGAAUCAUCUAAAGUGUACAUUUAACUGAUCACAAAGAAGAGGCAGUGGGCAUCAGUGGAGCCAAGGAAAAGAGGAAAUUAUUUCUAUUACUGGUCAUGCCUACAGGGUGUUAGUUACUAUAAAGAAUAUUUAAAGACAACCUUGUAGCUACUGAAAAAUAAAAUAAAAAAAGUUUUUAAAGCUAAAGUAAAAAACAUGGCCUUAUUGCUUUUUUAGAAAAACUGUUUUCCUGUAUUCUAAGAUUUUCUAUAUAAAGCAUCUUCCAUCCCACUCUCAUAGAUGCACAUGAUAAAACCGUGCAGGUCCAUGUGACCUGUUAAGGGUCUCUUCAGAGAAAAAAAAUUUUUACUUUUUACUUUUCCUCCCAGCAAAGGAAGGAGUUAAAAGUAAGGUUCUUACAAUAAUCUCUCUUUGAGGACUAGAAACUAUUUUCUGUAUCAGUCCCAGAAGGGCUUGUCAUCCUGCAGCUUAAUGGUAGUACAAAAGACCACUGAAUCAGCAUCCAGGGCUCUAAUCCAGCAUUCUAAACUGGCUAAGGCACUAAAAAGAUAAGUGACUUUCAUCAAGAGCCACGCUCUGCUGGCCACGGCGGCUCAAGCCUGUAAUCCCAGCAC
rnacentral:lncRNA from 1 species